rnacentral:rRNA from 1 species
GAUGAACGUUGGCGGUGUGCCUAAUACAUGCAAGUCGAACGGAGACUGUAGCAAUACUGUCUUAGUGGCGAACGGGUGAGUAACGCGUUGGUGAUCUGCCUCGAAGUGUGGAAUAACCUCCCGAAAGGGAAGCUAAUACCGCAUAGUCUCUCAAGGUUUAGAAAAUUGAGAGUAAAGGAUUUAUUCGCUUCGAGAGGAGCCUGCGUCCCAUCAGCUAGUUGGUAGGGUAACGGCCUACCAAGGCAAUGACGGGUAGGGGACCUGAGAGGGUGGCCCCCCACAAUGGAACUGAAACACGGUCCAUACACCUACGGGUGGCAGCAGUAGGGAAUAUUAGUAAUGGGCGAAAGCCUGAACUAGCAACGCCGCGUGUGCGAAGAAGGCCUUGGGUCGUAAAGCACUUUUUGAGAGGAUGAGGAAGGACGGUACGUCUCAGAAUAAGUCUCGGCUAACUACGUG